rnacentral:lncRNA from 1 species
GGUAUUAAGACGGAAGCAGUCUCCCGCGUGACCUUCCUAACACAGACCUUGAGCGAGCGACUGCGGGGGCAGAAGCUGAGAAUUUCAGAAGGCACUCGACAGCUCAGCUGGGUCCUUCACACUUGGCUUUCAGGAACAAAAAAAAAAAGCACGUUACUCUGCACCUGCCUCUCCACCCACCCUCCUCGAAACUUAUUUACCCCUAAGGAUCUAAACAGCCAGCAGAAGGACAGAGGUAUGAAGAAGAUGAGUCUCCUAUAUUUAUUAAGAUUCACUUAUAAAGGCAUCAGAGAGCUCUUGAGAACAUUCCAAGGUCGCCAAAUGCUUUCUCAAAAUGCCUUUACUCAGAGAAUAUUUAAAGGUAAGGAGCUAGAGGAAAAAAGGACUGCGCAUGACCUGUCAUUACUGGAGGCUUGGAGUUGCUAUAAUUUUUAGCUAUGAUACUAAUAAUAGUCAUCAUUUAUUGAACAUCCACUGAGUGUCAGGUGCUGUGCAGAGUUCUCUACAUGUGUUACCUCAUUUAAUCUUCAGAACAUUCUAUGAAGCAAUCAGAAGGACAGAUGUCAGGGUUACUCCACAAGGAGAGAAAAACGUCUUUGAAAAUGUAAUGAACUGGAGAAAAUUGUUUAUCAGGACUUCCAGGGAGAGUGUUGACUGGCUUGGAAAGAAGAUGUUGAUGAGCUACUUGGAGUGGGAGGGAAAACCCCAGGCCCCUGUUAUGCUUGUUAAGGAUUGUGGUCUGAUGAACUACAAGGCCUUUGUUUUGCCCUGCAGGGACCCUGCCUUUCCUCUAAAUAGAAAUUAAACAAUCAUUCAAAGAAUAUCCUUUUGAAGGAGCACCAAGAAUCACUGACUUCCCAGAACAGGCACAUGUCCCUAUCCAGCCCUGGAUAUAGGUUCCAGUCACUGCAAUAUACGCACUGGGACACUGAGCCUUGAGAGGGGUUCGUACCUUGCUGGUGAGACCCUGGCUACUGGAGCAGGAGGCCUUGAAUCGGAUUUGGGUCUGUCUGAUUCCACAGCCAUGGCACUGGGCAACAGUGUAACUGGUUUUCUCUAUAGCAUAAGGGUAGAAGACACGUCAAAAAUGACUGCUCAGGGGAUAAGAGUUAAAUGGUUAUAAACUGUUUUUAUAAUAAUUUAAAAAAUAAUAACCUGUCCAGUAGGGGAAAGGAAAAAAGAACAUGUAUUGAUCUUUAGGCAGAGAAUAAAUAAAAGUGUAGAUAAAAAGUAAAUAUUACUGAGAAUUCCACCAUCUAGAGAUAACACUGCUAAUGUUUUAGCACAUUUAAUUCUAUAUUUUCUAUUUUUAAAAGAUACAAUCACACAUACACCCAUAAACACAUGCAUAUAACUUGCUGCUUUUAUUCAAGCAUGUAUAUAUGAAAAAAGUAUGUAUAUAUGUGUAUGCCUGCCUGCUAAGUCUCUUCAGUCAUGUCCAAGUUUGUGUGACCCUAGGAACUAAAAAGCCUCUUGAUGAAAGUGAAAGAGGAGAGUGAAAAAG